rnacentral:rRNA from 1 species
UACGUAGGGUGCGAGCGUUAAUCGGAAUCAUUGGGCGUAAAGCGCACGUAGGCGGCCCGGUAAGUCCGCUCUGAAAGUCAGAGGCUCAACCUCUGGAGGCGAGUGGAUACUGCCGGGCUAGAGUCCGGAAGAGGCGAGUGGAAUUCCUGGUGUAGCGGUGGAAUGCGCAGAUAUCAGGAGGAACACCUAUGGCGAAGGCAGCUCGCUGGGACGGUACUGACGCUGAGGUGCGAAAGCGUGGGGAGCGAACAGG